UCACACAGAGUCAGACACAACUGAAGUGACUUAGCAGCAGCAGCAGCAGCAGUGAUUUUACACUGAAACCUGAAGGGUGUUGAGACAGUGUUUUCAAGGCUAAGAGGAGAGCAGCAAGUGAUGUGAAGAGUGCGGCACUCAGAAGCACUAGAAAAGCCCAGGACUUUGGUGAGAAACCAGGAAGGGUGCUGCCAGGCUGAAGGAGUGGGUGGGACCAGGUUGUGAAGAGCCCUCAAUACCUGAAAUGGACCAGUUUUGACAAGAUGUAGUACUGCAGCGUGCCUGAUGGAUUAUGUUCAGCCAUGGCAUCCGAACUUUGUAAGACGAUCUCUGUGGCAAGGCUGGAAAAGCACAAGAAUUUGUUCUUAAAUUACAGGAAUCUGCAGCAUUUCCCAUUGGAGUUACUGAAAGAUGAGGGACUACAGUACUUGGAGAGACUCUACAUGAAAAGGAACUCCCUUACAACCUUGCCAGAAAACCUUGCUCAGAAGCUUCCAAACCUUGUGGAACUGUAUCUUCACUCAAAUAACAUAGUUGUGGUUCCAGAAGCCAUUGGGUCCCUUGUAAAACUACAAUGUUUGGAUCUUAGUGACAAUGCCUUAGAAAUCGUUUGCCCAGAAAUUGGUCGUCUGAGAGCUUUACGUCAUCUUCGAUUAGCUAAUAACCAGCUGCAAUUCCUACCUCCAGAGGUUGGCGAUUUGAAGGAGCUGCAGACACUAGACAUUUCUACCAAUCGUUUGCUAACUUUACCCGAGAGGCUUCACCUGUGCCUUUCUCUGCAGUACCUCACUGUGGACCGAAAUCGUCUAUGGUGUGUGCCGCGCCACCUCUGCCAGCUGCCCAGCCUUAAUGAGCUCUCCAUGGCUGGAAACCGUCUUGCAUUUUUGCCACUUGAUUUAGGUCGAUCUCGAGAACUUCAAUAUGUGUACGUGGAUAACAACAUUCAUCUGAAAGGCUUGCCAUCCUUUCUGUACAACAAAGUCAUCGGGUGCAGUGGCUGUGGUGCUCCCAUUCAAGUUUCUGAGGUGAAGCUGCUUUCCUUUUCAUCGGGGCAACUAACCGUUUUCCUCCCUGCUGAGGUGAAGGCCAUAGGGACAGAGAAGGAUCAUGUCCUGCCUCUGCAGGAGCUGGCCAUGAGGACUCUGCAUCAUACCUACCACGCUUCUCUAAAAGAUCUGGACUUUCUGUCUCCAGUCUCGUUACCCAGAAGUCUCCUGGAGCUGCUGCACUGCCCCUUGGGGCACUGUCACCGGUGCAGCGAGCCCAUGUUUACGAUUGUCUACCCCAAGCUCUUUCCCUUGAGAGAGACGCCAAUGGCAGGGCUGCACCAGGGAAUGAGAGCGAGCGUGGGCAGGGUACUGCACCUCUCAGAGCCUCAGAAUGGAGCUGGAACAGCCUGCUGGGCAGGGCAUCUGAGGAUCAGCAGACGAUGAAGGCAGACACCUGGCACAUAAUGGGUGCUCAGCAAAUGGAGGACAACUGUGAGUUUUGUGGCUUACUGCUGCUCCACCCAGUGUCUGCAGACUUUUGACCUACUGAGUUGAUAAACACUCAAGAGCCUCAGGAGUGGUGCCAGCUUGACACUGCAGCUGCCUGCAUAUCGCACACGGUGCAGCCAAAGGGGUGGAGAGUCCAGCCAGCCCAGCAGCCCUUGCGCCCUGCCACACUCGGAGACCACAGGACUCUGGGAACGUCACGAUCGAGCUUCAGAACUAAAAUGCCUUCCCCCAAGUUGGAAUAUAUCCUCCCCCAAAUUAAGAACCCUUGGUCUUCUGUGUUUUUCUUUUUAUGUGAGUGUGUCUCAUAUGCAGACUGUUUAGCUUGAUAUGCCUCCCCAAAUCUAAUUUAGAGCAAGUUUCAGCUCCCUGAAGAACUAUAAUUUGACAAUACAACCAAAUUAACUUUUGAACAUA